CUUCUGAGCUUCGUAGGGCUCCAUGUAGCCGUCAUUCUCCGUGGGCUUUUCUGUGACUGUCUGGGUGCCGCCCGCCUGGUCCGCUGCGUCAAAGGGGUCAGCAUAGUCCUCUAGGAUGAUGAGCUGCAAAACGAAAGAGAAAAGGAACAGGACUCAAAGAAUGCUUGUAGAAGGAGGCUGUGGUGAAAGGCACACGUGUAGAUGAACUCUCUCUUCAGUCACACAUACAGUAACUAUAAACCCACAAACAAAUACUCUCAAAGAUUAGUCUAUUAGUGCUAUUACUCUAUCAAUGUUAUUGGAUCUUAGUGCUGUGUUCGACAUUAUUGACCACAACAUUCUCUUGAAUAGACUGGAAAACUUUGUUGGCAUUAAUGGAAGUGCAUUAGCAUGGUUAAAACGUACUUAUCUGACCACCAUCAAUUCAUUACAGUGAAUGAAGAGGUAUCAUAUCGAUCACAAGUGCAGUAUGGAGUACCUCAAGGCUCAGUACAAGGGCCGCUACUCUUCACGCUUUAUAUGUUACCCUUGGGAGAUAUCAUCAGGAAACAUGGUAUUAGCUUUCACUCUUAUGCUGAUGAUACUCAGCUCUAUAUUUCUUUGUGGCCUGGCAAAACAUUCCAGUUUGAAAAACGUAUUGAAUGCAUAGUCGAUAUAAAAACCUGGAGUAAUUUCUUACUGCUAAAUUCUGAAAAAAAAAAAAAACAGAGGUGUUAAUUAUAGGACUUAAUAACUCUGCUUGUAAUAACCUAGAACACUGUCUAAGACUUGAUGGUUGCUCUGUCAAUUCUUCGUCAUCAGUUAGGAACCUAGGUGUGCUACUUGAUCGCAAUCUGUCCUUAGAAAGCCACGUUUCUAGCAUUUGUAAAACUGCAUUUUUCCAUCUCAAAAAUAUAUUACGGCCUAUGCUCUCAAUGUCAAAUGCAGAAAUGUUAAUCCAUGCAUUUAUGACCUCAAGGUUAGAUUAUUGUAAUGCUUUAUUGGGUGGUUGUUCUGCAUGCUUAGUAAACAAACUACAGCUAGUCCAAAAUGCAGCAGCAAUAGUGCUUACUAGAACCAGGAAGUAUGACCAUAUUAGCCCGGUCCUGUCCACACUGCACUGGCUCCCUAUCAAACAUCGUAUAGAUUUUAAAAUAUUGCUUAUUACUUAUAAAGCACUGAAUGGUUUACCACCUCAGUAUUUGAAUGAGCUCCUUUUACAUUAUACUCAUCUACGUCCGCUACGUUCUCAAAACUCAGGCAAUUUGAUAAUACCUAGAAUAUCAAAAUCAACUGCGGGCGGCAGAUCCUUUUCCUAUUUGACGCCUAAACUCUGGAAUAACCUACCUAACAUUGUUCGGGAGGCAGACACACUCUUGCAGUUUAACUCUAGAUUAAAGACCCAUCUUUUUAACCUGGCAUACACAUAACAUACUAAUAUGCUUUUAAUAUCCAAAUACAGGUCCCCUGUAAAGACCUUGUCUCAGAGGAGCACCAGGACAAGACCACAGGAAACAGAUGAUUCUUCUGCACAAUCUGACUUUGCUGCAGUCUGGAAUUGAACUACUGGUUUCGUCUGGUCAGAGGAGAACUGGCCCCCGACUGAGCCUGGUUUCUCCCAAGGUUUUUUUCUCCAUUCUGUCACCGAUGGAGUUUCGGUUCCUAGCAGCUGUCGCCUCUGCUUAGUUGACUUGACUGCAGAGAUACAAUUUAAACUGAACUGAGCUGGAUGAUGAAAUCACUGAAUUCAUUGAUGAACUGACUUUUUGCAUUAUUGACACACUAUUUUCCUAUUUAAUGCCGUUCAGUUUCUUUGACAAUCUGUAUUGUUAAAGCGCUAUAUAAAUAAAGGUGACUUGACUUCA